rnacentral:lncRNA from 1 species
CUUGGACUUAUGGUCAUUUCUCAGUAAAAAUGUGUUGAAUAAGUGAAGGAAUGAUUAUACUAUUUAUGAGUCUCAGAUUAAGGAUUCUGUCUACAGUCAUUUUCCCUCUUAAAAGUUCUUCAGUGGUAACAGAGGGAGGGGCUGUUUUUGUAAUACUCAUCUUUUUGGUUUGAAUAAAGUCAUAUAUAUAGCGCUUAGUAGAUGGUUAAUAAAUGUUCAUUUCCUUCCUUUUCACUCUGGAAGAAGUUGAAGCUUUAAUCAGCAAAAGUUUCCUGGUCCGUGAAACAGAAGACGUUGUGAUUGGAGUGGUUCUUCAGCUACUGGAUGGAAGCAUAAAAUGCCUGUUGAUUUGCUGAAAAAAAAUGAAGAAUGUGCUAUCUGCAGUACAGUUACCUUACUUACUGUAAUGUGCCUCAAUAGUAAGGCUGCCUUCUCAGUGUAACCCUCUGUGCUUAAACAGUUUUAUUUUGUGUGCUUUGUAUUCACUACACAAGAAUAAGCACUUUUUUUGUAGUGCAGGUAUAUACUGCAGUUCCCUGAUAAAAGCUGAAAAAAUUUUUGAGUAAAGUUCUUUAAGUUAAGAUUUGAUAAAUGUGCAUGUGCCAUGAUCAAAUAUAUAUGAAAAGGCAGUGUUCCUUGUAUUUAUUUUUUUCUUUCUGUGGCAAACAAAACGUGAGCAUACUGUUUCAGUCCCAUUUGCAUUGUUGUAGCGUAUGGCUUGUUUCUUGUAUCUUUAAAAAUGUUGCUCAAUAAAAUAAAUCAACUAUUUUAUGUUCCUACACCUUCAGCAUUGGUUAAAAAUGACUUUCUAUUUAAUGCCACAUUGAGGUGAAAAAAUGGUUUCUUGACAGAUUUUUUAAAAAUAACUUCUAGUAUUUUAGGGAGCUGCUCUAAGUAGUUUAAAUUUGGGUUUCCCGGUAGAAUCCUCCUAAUCUCCGGCUAAAGGUGUCAAAAUAACCCAAACCCAGACUCUGGGCAGAACAAAGUUCUGUCUCCUCCCCUGGGGUACAGUUUCACCUUCCACUCGCUUGUCGUUCCACCUCCAAGCAGACGGACUGUCAUUCCUGAGGCGUGAGCAUUCUCAGGGCCAGAGGCCAGCCUCAGUGCUGUGUGUGUAGAGGGAGACGCACCUGUCUAUCUGAGGGUAGAGUUUUGAUCCCUGAACAAUUCAUUGACUAGCCUUAUCUCGUCCAUCCAGCUAAAUAAAGUAAUUUACCAGUGUAAAUUUUAAUGCUGCUUCUCUUUCAGUUGUUUGUAUUUUGUAAAUCUCUUCAUGACUAAAAUAGCCCCCACCCAAAAUCAAUUGGAUCAAUUUUCGUGGUUAGUUGGAUGAAUAUUCUUGAUGAAUGUAACACGUUGCUGUCCUUCACAGAUGGUACCACUAACCUGUUGCUUAUAGCACAUUUGUAUUUUUUUAUUGGUGUUUGAUAAAUAAUAGUGACGGAUUUGCAUUUUUCUGUCUACAUACUCUUCUGUUUUCUUCUUUGGACAAUUGCUUGCAGGAUGACGGAAUGCCAGGGUUAAGGGUGGAAUCUGUGACCAAGGGAAACAAAGUUGACUGCUCAAAUGUGACCCACAUCCUUGGCCUCCUGGGUGGCCCCUGAACCAGUGAAGGUAGCUUAGAUGGGUUGUGUGUGUGUCUGGAAAGGUUCGGAUUCAUCGUUUAGAAGCCAAGUUUGAUCUUUGAAUAAGCCCUGAGAAUCUUACAAAACCCAGAAAUUCUAUUUUUUCCAUGUGCUGUUGAUGAGAAGGAGGAGUGAGGAAAGAGAAUUUAGAGAUUCAGCACAAAACCAUUGCUACUACUGGCAAAAAAAUCUUUAAAAACUGUCUUAGUAAUAGAGGUCAGUAAUGUCAUCUUCAUAUGUGAAGGACACACGUGAUGCAUUGCUCACAGAAGUAGAAAGGUGUAAUUGGUUGUGAUAAAUGUUUCACUUGAAUCUUCAUGUAAGGCUUUUAUUUUUGCUUUUGUUGUUCAAAGUCAGCAAAACUCAUUCUGUUUAUGUCAUCAAGUCAUUUCAGGAAUAGGAGAUAAGUUCAAUUGAUAUUAAGGUGACAUGGCAAUAUUGAUAACUCGAAUGUGAAUGUUUCAAGUAUUGAAUUUUUGUCCCUAUGGGACAUUUAUUAAAUACACUUAAUAGGACUCUUGCAAAGUAGCCUUAAAAGUGUUGAUGAUUCUAUUAAUAAAUAUGAACACAUACUAUUAUUAGAACCAAUCUUACUCAUAUCUCAAAUACAGUACAUUUACAUUACUGUAGAGGAAGAAGCUGUAAUUUCUUAUUAGGUGUAUUUUUCUUUAGAAAGAGAACCCUGAAAGCUGCCAGUUUUUCUAUUAACCUUGAAUUAUUGGAAUUGUAUUUAUUUAAUUUUAUUGUUUUUUUACAAAAAUGCACCUUGUGGCCAAAGGGCAAAGAUAUGACUCAUUACAUAAGGGAUUUAUGUUUUUCAAAGAGCUAAAUGUUUUCAUAUCCAUUUUUAUAUAAACUUGAAACAGUUGGUAGGAAGAGAACCUGUUGGAAAAAUAAGAUUUUUCAAAAGUAAGUAUUCCUCUGGAUGUUUUUAUACUGAUUAUGUUUUGGAAUAGGACAGAAGUGGCUUUUCGUUAGGAUAAGGAUAAUGCCCUGCUCUGCCUGUUUGUUUUUGUGGGGGAUUUAAGACCAUGACUGAAAAUGGCUCUUGCUCCACUAAGAAGAGUAGAAAUAAGUCCCCCAAAUAUAAAACUCCUAAAUAACUAUUAUAAAAACUAAAAUAUUUAAAUUUUGUAAAUCACCUGAUACCACUACACACCUGUGACGCCAUGUGCUUACAACAUUUUUGUAACAUUCCAUCUGUGCCCAUUCCCUAAAAGUCAUGAGUUGAUAGUAAGGGAAGUGACAAAAAAUGUAGUUAUGAAAAAUAAAACUCUGAAUGUUUGUAGGAAAGGUUUUGGAAGGAAAAUUGCAGAACUCAGUGUGUACUACAAAUACAAAAUACAACCGAUGUCCUUGUCCCUUGUCCUCACCCCCACCCCCACCAGAAUCAUCACUAAAAAUAGUUCACUACUUAAAAAACAGGAGUAAAUACUUUUCUCAAUAUUAUUUGGCUAUGCAAAUGUUUGUUUUGCUUGAUGUCCUCCAUUUACGCUUCUCAGCAAAUGUAGUUGCAGACAAAUGCUUUCUUUUUAUUUUUCCCUUGGUUCUGGGUAUGUAAAUAGCCUAAAAUGUACAUUGAAUUUCACAUUGUAAAAGUUUAUUUUAUUCCUUGUAUUAUAUUAAGCAAAAAUCCCUAUGUAUAUGAAAGUGCAUAAUAAAUAUAUUUGCUUUACAGAGGA